rnacentral:rRNA from 1 species
AACGAACGCUGGCGGCAUGCCUAACACAUGCAAGUCGAACGAGACCUUCGGGUCUAGUGGCGCACGGGUGCGUAACGCGUGGGAACCUGCCCUUAGGUUCGGAAUAACUCCCCGAAAGGGGUGCUAAUACCGGAUAAUGUCUUCGGACCAAAGAUUUAUCGCCUUUGGAUGGGCCCGCGUUGGAUUAGCUAGUUGGUAGGGUAAAAGCCUACCAAGGCGACGAUCCAUAGCUGGUCUGAGAGGAUGAUCAGCCACACUGGGACUGAGACACGGCCCAGACUCCUACGGGAGGCAGCAGUGGGGAAUAUUGGAGAAGGGGCGAAAGUCUGAUCCAGCAAUGCCGGGUGAGUGAGGAAGGCCUUAGGGUUGUAAAGCUCUUUUACCCGGGAUGAUAAUGACAGUACCGGGAGAAUAAGCACCGGCUAACUACGUG